rnacentral:rRNA from 1 species
CUACGGGCUGCUGCAGUAAGGAAUAUUGCGCAAUGGAGGCAACUCUGACGCAGCCAUGCCGCGUGCAGGAAGAAGGCCUUAUGGGUCGUAAACUGCUUUUAUUUAGGAAUAAACCCCCGAACGUGUUCGGGGCUGGAGGUACUAAACGAAUAAGCACCGGCUAACUCCGUGCCAGCAGCCGCGGUAAUACGGAGGGUGCAAGCGUUAUCCGGAUUUCUUGGGUUUAAAGGGUGCGCAGGCGGGCUAUUAAGUCAGUGGUGAAAUCCCGGGGCUCAACUCCGGAACUGCCAUUGAUACUGAUAGUCUUGAGUGUGGUUGAAGUGGGCGGAAUGUAGCAUGUAGCGGUGAAAUGCAUAGAUAUGCUACAGAACACCAAUCGCGAAGGCAGCUCACUAAGCCAAAACUGACGCUCAUGCACGAAAGCGUGGGGAUCAAACAGGAUUAGAUACCCGAGUAGUC